AUAACAGUAUGAUAGACGAUUUGUAAAAGGAGUGAUUUUUAUAUGACUUUUUAAUGUACAUCAGAAUAAAUCCACGCUCAGGACGUUGGUUGUGCCAAUCUUCUAUGACCAUCAUUAUAUGAUUUUUACUGGACAUCAGAAUAACUCCACGCUGAGGACAUUUGAUGUCCCAAUCUUGGGGGGGGGGGGGGGGGAUAAUACUAUUUUUUAAUGUACCUCAGAAUAAAUCCACGCUCAGGACGUUGGAUGUUCCAAUCUUCUAUGACCUUUACACAGGCACUUGUCUCAGAAAAAAAUUCUAUAUACCUUAAUUAAUAUAACACAAGGUACUUAACUCGCAUUUUUUAAAGGCACUGGCUACGGUUACAUGGAAAUGUAAAAAUAAUAAUAAUAUUAUUGUUACAUUGGAGACUAAAUGCUGGAAUGCAUGGUUGGGUAAGGACCUGAUUAAUUACGAAUGUAACAAUAAUUAUUGAGGCUACGGUUACAUUGCGUUAUUGUUACAUGAAAAACAGCAAUGUACGCUAGAUUUAUUAAACUUACAUCUUCUAUAGUUUUGCAUCUUCGCUAGCCAAGGGUUACGAUCCACUUCCCUCCUCUCCACCCUUGGCAGAUUAAGCCAACAUUUGUGAUAACAAUGUUGCGCCAUCUAUCGGUAGAUUAAAGUCACGCCCAUUCCGAAUACAUUAUUCUUGACCAAUGGUAGCACUUGAACUCUUCAAUUUGGAGGUAAAAACACGGUAGCAUCUAGAUUCUACACACUUGAUAAAGCAGGAAACGAAAAUAUACGUUGACAUUCAUGCAUUUGUACAAGAAACAUACACAAGAACUUCUAUUAAUUGAUUAAAAACAUUCAAAUUGUCACUAAAUAUAGUCGUAUGUUUAGGGAUGUAAAGACUUGUUGCACAAUAAGCACGUGCCAAUUGUUUACAUAUACACUUUCUACAUUUACACGUGAUCAUGUUAUAGGCGCUUUUUGAUUGGAUGCAGCGAGUUUCGAAUGCAACCAAUGAAAAUCAUUACCUUGUGUCUCCGAAAUUCUAUCUCAAUCCGCCAAGGGUGGAGAGAAGGGAAGUGGAUCGUAACCCUUGGCUAGCGAAGAUGAUAGUUUUGUUGCUUAAUUCUUUCAUAUGUACUAAAUAAUACUUGUAAUAAUGAUAAAUAAUAAAUAUUAUUAUUCAACAAAUGGUGUUUAAAUAGUUUUACGUAUUAAUGGUUUUGAUGUUCUUAAAGAUACUACUUCAGAUUAGUAGUGCCAAAGGCGAAAAAUAUAGUUCAAUGGUUUGUUGUUGAGAACUCGGGCUGAGAAAAGUGUUCACUUCUAAGUAUUUAACUGCACACCUACUACUUAUUACUGUCAUUAUACUUUGAACAAUCACGGAUGAAGAGAUUCCUAUUGCCAAUUUUGUUUUGGGUGAAAAAUUUAAAACAUGGGAUGCGUUUGAAACAAAACUGAAACAAUAUCAAGACACAAAUUUCAUACAGCUAUACAAACGCAGUUCUAAAAAAAAUUGAUACAUCAAUAGCAAAGUUUGCUAACUGUGAACAAAAUACUGUGAACUUCUGUAUACAUGUAUCCAUGGAGGACGUAAUUUCGUUUCAAAAUCAGAUGGAGCUCGCCCAAACCAAAGGUAAGUUUUUUUUAACAUAUCUACGAAUAUCAAUGGGUCAUAAUAUCCAUGCGAGAUUUAAAUUACAUUCGAGUUAUAAAAUUAAAGUUUAAAUUGACACAGACCAAGUGUCCAACGUUUUUUUUUCUUCCAACGACAUAUUUGCUGUUUUGCAUUGCUAGUUUAAUGAAUGUAGUAUGUCUGCCUCUGCCUCUUCGAACUCUCUUGCCUCGUUUUUGUUAUGAAAUUGUGAAUUAAUUCUUAAAACCUGAUCUAAAGCAUUGUGUUUUUGUAUUUUUAGCACUUUCCAGAUGAAACUGAAAUGUAAAGACGGUGUAUUCUUUGAAGUCACGAAUUUCAACAAUGAACAUAACCAUGAAAUUACUAAGGCGUCUUACAGACACCUAUAUCACCAGCGUAAGUUGGAUUCAGACGUAAAAAAGGAUGUUGAGAAAUUACUGAAGAUGAAGUCAAACAAGCGUUUGGUGCAGGAUCAUAUUUCUGUGAUGACUGGACAGAUUGUUACAUUGAAAGACUUACGCAACAUAUAGGAAACACUACUACAUCUACUAACACAGAUUUUGACGCACUUCUCUCUAGAAGGAAAGACGUUAAAGCAGAGCUAUCACCUCGUCAACAGCUACGAAUGGAAACACAUCCCAAGAUGAUGAAUCACACCAUGACUCCAAUGACGACAAUGGCAUCACUUCGUCUGAUGAUUUCCCGUUACUGAUAGACCCUUCCUAUAAGCUCCCCCUAAAAUGAUACGCCGAGGACGACCGAAAGGUGCAGAAACGACCGUCGUUGGAUUGCCCAAAAGAACGAAGAGAGUCAUGCCGUUUCUUAAAAGACGACCAAAGGAAAAAGAAGAAGCACUUUCCAGAUGAAACUGAAAUGUAAAGACGGUGUAUUCCUUGAAGUCACGAAUUUCAACAAUGAACAUAACCAUGAAAUUACUAAGGCGUCUUACAGACACCUAUAUCACCAGCGUAAGUUGGAUUCAGACGUAAAAAAGGAUGUUGAGAAAUUACUGAAGAUGAAGUCAAACAAGCGUUUGGUGCAGGAUCAUAUUUCUGUGAUGACUGGACAGAUUGUUACAUUGAAAGACUUACGCAACAUAUAGGAAACACUACUACAUCUACUAACACAGAUUUUGACACACUUCUCUCUAGAAGGAAAGACGUUAAAGCAGAGCUAGCACCUCGUCAACAGCUACGAAUGGAAACACAUCCCAAGAUGAUGAAUCACACCAUGACUCCAAUGACGACAAUGGCAUCACUUCGUCUGAUGAUUUCCCGUUACUGAUAGACCCUUCCUAUAAGCUCCCCCUAAAAUGAUACGCCGAGGAUGACCGAAAGGUGCAGAAACGACCGUCGUUGGAUUGCCCAAAAGAACGAAGAGAGUCAUGCCGUUUCUUAAAAGACGACCAAAGGAAAAAGAAGAAGCUAUGCUAAGUUGGAUACUGAAAUGUGAGGUAAACCUAAAAUCCGUAAUGGACGGCAGUGCGAUCAUAUUGAAAGACGACAUGAAACUACACCACAUGCUUCCAACCAAAAUAUUGGAUGAGAAUAUCAACAUUGCUAGAGUGAAAAAGUAUUUCUCACCAGAAACAUGGUAAACAUUAAAGGUUGCCUUAUCUUCUAAAAGGGAUAUCGCAGAAUGGAACUGCACGAUAUGCGAUACGGAAGUUCACAAUGCAGCAUCACUGGUGUGUGAUGGCUGCUUGAAGUGGUUUCGUCAGAAAUAUGUCGGACUUAAACAUGCUCCAAAAACCACUUACUGGAUAUGUAGAAAAUGUCAUUGUAAAUAAAAAAUUAAAGAAAUUGUAUGUAAUAAUUGUAUGUAUUGUAAAUAUAAAAUAAAUGUCUUCAACUUUUA